CCUACGUGAGGCAGCAGUGAGGAAUAUUGGGCAAUGGACGAGAGUCUGAACCAGCCAAGUAGCGUGAAGGAUGACUGCCCUAUGGGUUGUAAACUUCUUUUAUAUGGGAAUAAAACGUUCCACGUGUGGGAUUUUGUAUGUACCAUAUGAAUAAGGGUCGGCUAACUCCGUGCCAGCAGCCGCGGUAAUACGGAGGAUCCGAGCGUUAGCCGGAUUUAUUGGGUUUAAAGGGAGCGUAGGUGGAUUGUUAAGUAAGUUGUGAAAGUUUGCGGAUCAACCUUAAAAUUGCAGUUGAAAAUGGCCGUCUUGAGUACAGUAGAGGUGGGCGGAAUGCGUUGUGUAGCGGUGACAUGCUUAGAUAUCACGAAGAACUCCGAUUGCGAAGGCAGCUCACUGGACUGCAACUGACACUGAGGCUCGAAAGUGUGGGUAUCAAACAGGAUUAGAUACCCUUGUAGUC
rnacentral:rRNA from 1 species